rnacentral:lncRNA from 1 species
AUGGGUGUUGAAGUUAGGGUCAUCAUUAACUUUUUUUAACGUAAUCAUAGACAUUUCAUACUUUCACCAAUAUAUAGUAUGCUAUUGAUUUUGUUUCAUUCUAUUUGGGUUUAGUUUUAUAAUUGAUUUUAGAAUUAUAUUUGGGGUUAGAGUUUAGUAAUUAGGAUUUAGGGUUUAGUAAUUAGAGUUUAGUGAUUAGGAUUUAGAGUUUAUUAUUUAAGAGUUGAGGUUGGGUUAAUGUUUAGUGUUUAAGGAUUGUCGGUGUGGUUUGAUUUCUAUACUACUUCGACGAUUUAGAAUAGAACACUCGGUGUAUAUGUAUGUGGUCAAUAAACAUUUGACAUGGAUGCAUUAUAGUUUAUAUUUGGGUUUAGGGUUUGGUGAUUAGGGUUUAGGGUUUAGUAUUUAUGAGUUGGGGUUGGGGUUGGGUUUAGUAUAUAGGAAUUAUAGGUGUAGUUUGCAUCCUAUACUACUUCGCCAAUAUAGAAUAGAACAUUGAGUGUAUAUAUAUGUGGUCAAUAAACUGUCACGUGGAAGUCUACUUCUUCUUUUGUACGAAAAGUUUUUGGUUCCCUCUUGUCCAUAUCUUUUCUCAGUUACGUCAUCAAUAUAUAAUACAUUCACCAGGUAAUUGUUAACGAAAGGGGUAUAACCGGACAAAUCAUAUCACAAAUAUUAGUUUUUUAAUAAUGUCAAAAUCAUUGCUAUUUUCUUAAUUUUCAUAGUGAAUAUGGUUAUUCAGCAAAUAAACCUUUUUUUUUUGUUUCCAUGUUUCUGACAAGGAAUAAAGUAUUUGUAUUUGUUUUGGUUUUUUUGCUAAAGUGGAAUAAAAUAUUUCGUUAGUAUUAAACCCCUAUCUUUAAUUGGUUGAUUCAAUCAAGUAGAACAAGUCUUAACUUCCGUAUUUGUAAGAAACAAAUACUAGUAAUUA